rnacentral:rRNA from 1 species
UUAGAUCGUACACACAUUUACUUGGAUAACUGUGGUAAUUCUAGAGCUAAUACAUGCAAACAGAGCUCCGACCGGAGACGGAAGGAGCGCUUUUAUUAGAUCAAAACCGAUCGGUGGCGGAUUUAUCCGUCAUCGCACAAUUUGGUGAAUCUGAAUAACUUUAAGCUGAUCGCACGGUCUAGCACCGGCGACGCAUCUUUCAAAUGUCUGCCUUAUCAACUGUCGAUGGUAGGUUCUGCGCCUACCAUGGUUGUAACGGGUAACGGGGAAUCAGGGUUCGAUUCCGGAGAGGGAGCCUGAGAAACGGCUACCACAUCCAAGGAAGGCAGCAGGCGCGCAAAUUACCCACUCCCGGCACGGGGAGGUAGUGACGAAAAAUAACGAUACGGGACUCAUCCGAGGCCCCGUAAUCGGAAUGAGUACACUCUAAACCCUUUAACGAGGAUCAAUUGGAGGGCAAGUCUGGUGCCAGCAGCCGCGGUAAUUCCAGUUCCAAUAGCGUAUAUUAAAGUUGUUGCGGUUAAAAAGCUCGUAGUCGAAUUUGUGUCUCGCACCGCCGGUUCAUCGUUCGCGGUGUUAACUGGCGUGCCGUGGGACGUCCUGCCGGUGGGCUUAGCUCGUGAGGGCGGCCCAAAUUAAUCCUGCCACGGUGCUCUUCAUUGAGUGUCGAGGUGGGCCGGCACGUUUACUUUGAACAAAUUAGAGUGCUUAAAGCAGGCUAAAUUUCGCCUGAAUACUAUGUGCAUGGAAUAAUGGAAUAGGACCUCGGUUCUAUUUUGUUGGUUUUCGGAACCCCGAGGUAAUGAUUAAUAGGAACGGAUGGGGGCAUUC